rnacentral:rRNA from 1 species
UACGUAGGGUGCAAGCGUUAAUCGGAAUUACUGGGCGUAAAGCGUGCGCAGGCGGUGAUGUAAGACAGGUUGUGAAAUCCCCGGGCUCACCUGGGAACUGCAUCUGUGACUGCAUCGCUGGAGUGCGGCAGAGGGGGAUGGAAUUCCGGCGUGUAGCAGUGAAAUGCGUAGAUAUGCGGAGGAACACCGAUGGCGAAGGCAAUCCCCUGGGCCUGCACUGACGCUCAUGCACGAAAGCGUGGGGAGCAAACAGG